UAUAAGGAGAAAUAUACAAUUUAAAUGCUGACUUCUGAGAGUGAGGACUCUCACUGACAUCAAUGGGUUCCAGAUGUGCCUGUUUCCUGCUGACGUUCUCACAAGGAAGAGAGAAGAACCCAAGAAGAUGGCUGCGAGUGCUAACCAAAAGCAUGUUGUGUUUUACCAUGGAGAUGCUGUCAGAAGGUGCCAUAAGGAAGGAGGGAAAAUGUCACCUAGCAACAGAAGCCCUGAGAAGAAAACUUCCACACUCACCAGAAGAGGCAGAGCGAGCUGGAGCGUUGAGAGGAGGCACGGACAAGAGCUGAAAAGGCUGCUUGUCUGCUGCUCUGGGGCUGAGCUUAACGCUGUAGUGGUAGGUGCUCUGGGCGCAAACGCUGUGUAAAGGGAAGUUAGCAUCUCUGCCAGUGGUUUGCAUAGAACUUGGUUUGCAUAAUGGGACUUUGGGUUACUUUUUCUGUGACUCUCUAAUUUGAAUUUGAAAAUGAUAAAAUCUUAAAUCAUGAUGGGAAUCUACAUUUUAAUUUAAAAACAGCAAAAAAGUAAACUUG
rnacentral:lncRNA from 1 species